AGGUCUUUGGUUUAUUUAAAAAGUGCAGGUUAAAACAGUGCGUUUAAGGCGAUAAUGCAACUUGCAGUUGGUAAUUUUAAUUUCUGUAUUCGGAAUAGUUGCAGACAUGUUUUUUCGUGAUUUAUUCGCUCGACUGCACCCGCACAAUGAAAUUUGCCAAUGGGCGAUUGGAUAAUGUCGGAGCAACCCGAGGCCAUGAUAGCUGUACUUCUCAAGGACACAAUAGAUAAGUAUUAAAGAAAUCGCAGUUAAGGAGGUAGUGGUGUUCGGUGCCAACCUGACCCGAAUUACAUAGCCUGCAGACUCUAUCUUCAAAUGGGGUUCCGUCGUAUCGGCCUGUCUCGACUGGAAACCAGUGGUUAGCAGUCCUGAAUUGGAAUAGGGAAGGUGCUGGUGGAUGCUUGAUGGAAGACUGAUUGCAGCUCAUCAGUUAUGUGCUCUAUGGUCUGCUGCAAUUUGGGGUUGGAUGAGGGUUCUGUCCCCCCACUGGCCUAAUGGCUAUGGUUGCUGUCUGCUGUGGUCCUACUAUGGUUAUUGGACUGUGGAGUGUCCCUAGAGGGCACACGGUUAUCAGUACGCGCAGAAUCCCAGGGGCGUUGGAUGCUGGGCACAGAUGACUGGGUGUUCAGUGGAGUUCUGGGAGAUACUGGAGGAUGAUUACGAGCAUGAGCUUUUGAAGAAUUAGGAGAAGCAGACUGCGAGCGUCUUGAUACGUGUUCGGAAUUGGGAGUUGGAGUAUUGGGAGUGAUGACCAUAGUUGUUUUCCUCUGGUUAGCAGUGGUUGUGAUAGGCUCUGGCGGGAUAUUGUUCCUGGCGCUUUGGGGAGGAGGGACACUGUGUGCCUGAUUCGACCGUGGUACUUCGGGGAUCGUGGCAGUUGGAGUAAUGGGAGUGGCGACCGCAGUUGUGUUCCUCCGGUUGCCAGAGGUUGUGAUAGAAGCUGGCGGGAUAUUGUUCCAGGUGCUUUGGCGAGAACGGAAACUGUGUGCCUGACUCGUCCCGAAGACUUCGGGGAUUGUGCGAACUCUGUUACCGUUGAGAAUUGAGUUCCAAUCAGGAUAUAUGUCCUCGACUACCCUUCCAUCCAUAACUAUUUUUGCAGGGAAGACUAGUGCAAUUUUGCUGCGUGGAUUACUUUCACGGAGUUUUUUGUAUUUUGGCCAGAGCGUUUUCCGAGCUUGUGAGAUUUCUUUAGGGUAGUCUCGGUUUAUGCUGAAGUUUGACCCUGCUAAGUGUUUUGCAUGAGAGAGAACAUCUACUGUGUCUUGAAAGUUCAGGAAGUUCACAAUGAUACCCCUACUGUUGCUUGGAGAGAAUCUUCCAAGGCGGUGGGCUCGCUGGAUUAUUGGACGGUGCGUUAUCUGGAGCUGUUCGUCAAGAAAUUGACCUAUGACAUCAAAACAGUUUUCAUUUCUUUGUUCACCUAUUCCACCAAAUAUGAGGUUAUUUCUUCGGCUCCUUGCCUCGAUGUCAAUGGAUUUGUACUCAAGCAGUUUUAAGCGCUGGUCGUGUUCGGAUAGUGAGCCUUCUAUUGAUGUCAAUUUUGUAUGCAUCUUUAAACAUUCAUCAACCUUGUGAUCGAAAUUCUUCAUUUGUUCAAAUAUUUCUGUAACUUUUCCAUCAAGAGAUAAUUGCUCAAAGUCA